rnacentral:rRNA from 1 species
CCUACGGGAGGCAGCAGUCGAGAAUCAUUCACAAUGGGGGAAACCCUGAUGGUGCGACGCCGCGUGGGGGAAUGAAGGUCUUCGGAUUGUAAACCCCUGUCAUGUGGGAGCAAAUUAAAAAGAUAGUACCACAAGAGGAAGAGACGGCUAACUCUGUGCCAGCAGCUGCGGGAAUACAGAGGUCUCAAGCGUUGUUCGGAAUCACUGGGCGUAAAGCGUGCGUAGGCUGUUUCGUAAGUCGUGUGUGAAAGGCGCGGGCUCAACCCGCGGACGGCAGAUGAUACUGCGAGACUAGAGUAAUGGAGAGGGAACCGGAAUUCGCGGUGUAGCAGUGAAAUGCGUAGAUAUCGGGAGGAACACUGGUGGCGAAGGCGGGUUCCUGGACAUUAACUGACGCUGAGGCACGAAGGCCAGGGGAGCGAAAGGGAUUAGAUACCCUUGUAGUC